rnacentral:rRNA from 1 species
CACCGCCCGUCACACCAUGGGAGUGGGUUGCACCAGAAGUAGCUAGCCUAACCGCAAGGAGGGCGACUACCACGGUGAGAUUCAUGACUGGGGUG